rnacentral:rRNA from 1 species
CGUAAGCGCGCGUAGGCGGCUAAUUAAGUCAAAUGUGAAAUACAGUAACUUAACUUGGGAAUUGCAUUCGAUACUGGUUAGCUAGAGUGUGGGAGAGGAUGGUAGAAUUCCAGGUGUAGCGGUGAAAUGCGUAGAGAUCUGGAGGAAUACCGAUGGCGAAGGCAGCCAUCUGGCCUAACACUGACGCUGAGGUGCGAAAGCAUGGGGAGCAAACAGGAUUAGAUACCCUGGUAGUCCAUGCCGUAAACGAUGUCUACUAGCCGUUGGGGCCUUUGAGGCUUUAGUGGCGCAGCUAACCCCAUAUUUACACCGCC